GUUUUAAACAACGCAACAAGUAUCUGCUGGCGCCCUCACCUACACCGGAAACUGCCGAGGACUUUCUACGACUAGCCAUCCAGGAAAGCUGCUCCGUCAUCGUCAGUUUAGGACCUUCAGGCGGCAAGGUUGACUGGACAUAUUUUCCCGAGAAGGACCAAAUCCUCGAAACAGGUUCUUUCAAGAUCAGCACAGUCAGCGAAACAAUUCUACCGCAGUGGGAAAAACGCGCACUGGACGUGGAAUAUCCACGCGAUGAUACGGAGAAACACGUAAAGAAAUUCCGUCAUUUACGUUUCACGGACUGGAACGAGGAAACCAACACGCCUUCGUCCGCGACCAGCUUCCAG